rnacentral:rRNA from 1 species
AUUGAACGCUGGCGGCAGGCUUAACACACGCAAGUCGAGCGGGGUGAUGGUGCUUGCACUAUCACUUAGCGGCGGACGGGUGAGUAAUGCUUAGGAAUCUGCCUAUUAGUGGGGGACAACAUCUCGAAAGGGAUGCUAAUACCGCAUACGUCCUACGGGAGAAAGCAGGGGAUCACUUGUGACCUUGCGCUAAUAGAUGAGCCUAAGUCGGAUUAGCUAGUUGGUGGGGUAAAGGCCUACCAAGGCGACGAUCUGUAGCGGGUCUGAGAGGAGUAUCCGCCACACUGGGACUGAGACACGGCCCAGACUCCUACGGGAGGCAGCAGUGGGGAAUAUUGGACAAUGGGGGGAACCCUGAUCCAGCCAUGCCGCGUGUGUGAAGAAGGCCUUAUGGUUGUAAAGCACUUUAAGCGAGGAGGAGGCUCUUUUGGUUAAUACCCAAGAUGAGUGGACGUUACUCGCAGAAUAAGCACCGGCUAACUCUGUGCCAGCCGCCGCAGUAA